CAGUCGCCGCGGGAAUACGAAGGUCCCGAGCGUUGUUCGGAAUCACUGGGCGUAAAGGGAGCGUAGGCGGCGUGGUAAGUCAGAUGCGAAAUCCCAGGGCUCAACCCCGGAACUGCAUCCGAUACUGCCGUGCUAGAGGAUUGGAGAGGCAGCUGGAAUUCUCGGUGUAGCAGUGAAAUGCGUAGAGAUCGGAAGGAACAUCUGUGGCGAAGGCGACUAUCUGGGCCAACACUGACACUGAGGCACGAAAGCGUGGGGAGCAAACAGGAUUAGAUACCCCCGUAGUCCCUGUCUCUUAUAC
rnacentral:rRNA from 1 species